UGGGGGAUAUUGCACAAUGGAGGAAACUCUGAUGCAGCAAUGCCGCGUGAGGGAAGAAGGCUUUCGGAUUGUAAACCUCUGUCCUAGCUGAAGAAACGAAUGACGGUAGGCUAGGAGGAAGCUCCGGCUAACUACGUGCCAGCAGCCGCGGUAAUACGUAGGGAGCGAGCGUUAUCCGGAAUUACUGGGUGUAAAGGGUGCGUAGGCGGCUAUGCAAGUCAGGCGUGAAAUGUACGGGCUUAACUCGUGAACUGCGUUUGAAACUGUAUAGCUUGAGUAGAGUAGAGGCAGGCGGAAUUUCCAGUGUAGCGGUGAAAUGCGUAGAGAUUGGAAGGAACACCAGUGGCGAAGGCGGUCUGCUGGGCUCAAACUGACGCUGAGGCACGAAAGCAUGGGGAGCAAACAGG
rnacentral:rRNA from 1 species